rnacentral:ncRNA from 1 species
GGGCGCGGCUCUCCACUUCUCGGUCGCGUUCAGCUAAAAAAGGAGGAAAAGUUCAGCCCCGAGGCUCGGGGUGCGGCAGUGUGGAGACCUGCCGUAAUGCGGCGCCGUCCAUCGCGGCGGGCCGCGAGGGCAUUUCAGGCGGAGGCCGGAUGCCCGGAGCCGGAAACAUGGCA